CAGCCGCCGCGGGAAUACGUAGGGUGCGAGCGUUAAUCGGAUUUACUGGGCGUAAAGCGUGCGCAGGCGGCCCGUUAAGACAGAUGUGAAAUCCCCGGGCUCAACCUGGGAACUGCAUUUGUGACUGGCAGGCUAGAGUAUGGCAGAGGGGGGUGGAAUUCCGCGUGUAGCAGUGAAAUGCGUAGAUAUGCGGAGGAACACCGAUGGCGAAAGCGGCUCGUUGGACCAUAACUGACGCUGAGGCACGAAAGCUAGGGGAGCAAACAGGAUUAGAUACCCCCGUAGUCCCUGUCUCUUAUAC
rnacentral:rRNA from 1 species